GACGAACGCUGGCGGCGUGCUUAACACAUGCAAGUCGAACGGCGUGUCGAACGGGUGAGUAAAACGUGGGGGAUAUGCCCUGCUCUUGGGGAUAAGCUUGGGUAACCGGGUGUAAUACCGGACAGUGCAGGAUGAGCUCGCGGCCUAUAAGCUGGUUGGGGGGGUAAUGGCCGACCAAGGAGUCGACGGGUAGCCGGCCUGAGAGGGUGUAAGGCCCAAUUGGGACUGCGAUACGUCCCAGAGUCCUACGGGAGGCAGCAGUGGGGAAUAUUGCACAAUGGUCGGAAGCCUGAUGCAGCGACGCCGCGUGGGUGAUGAAGGCCUUCGGGUUGUGAACUCCUUUCGACAGGGACGCGGUACCUGUAUAAGAAGCACCGGCUAACUACGUGCCAGCAGCCGCGGUAAUAC
rnacentral:rRNA from 1 species